CUCUUCCCGUAAUAUAUAGGAAGUAGGAUCUGCUCCAUGCUUAGGUAAAUUGCCGCAGUAUUUUGACUGUGCUAAGGUAGCAAAAUAAAUUGGCUCUUCAUUGGAGUCUGGAAUGAAUGAUUUGACAAGGUCUAUUCUGUCUCACUUGUUAGAGUAGAAAUUGGAUUGUCUGUAAAAAUACAGUCAUGAAGGAGAGGGACGAAAAGACCCUAUAGAUCUUUACUUUUCUUCUCUAAAAUUCUCUCUAGUUUUAGAUUGGGAAAGUUUACUUGGGAUAAGACUAAAAACGAAUUUUGGUGGUAGAUGAAGAUUGAUUAAUCAAAAAGAAGAUUAAAAUAAAAGAGAAGUUACCUUAGGGAUAACAGGAUAAUUCCUUUACUUAGAACUUAUAGAUAAAGGAGCUUAUUACCUCGAUGUUGAAUUAAGUUAUCUUUCAUUUGAAGAAGAAUGAGGAGUCAGUCUGUUCGACUGUUAAAAACUU
rnacentral:rRNA from 2 species